rnacentral:rRNA from 1 species
AAACCCUGACGCAGCGACGCCGCGUGCGGGAAGAAGGCCUUCGGGUUGUAAACCGCUUUCAGGAGGGACGAAGCUACUCGGGUGAAUAGCCCAGAGGGUGACGGUACCUCCAGAAGAAGCCCCGGCUAACUACGUGCCAGCAGCCGCGGUAAUACGUAGGGGGCAAGCGUUGUCCGGAUUUAUUGGGCGUAAAGAGCGUGUAGGCGGCCAGGCAGGUCCGUUGUGAAAACUCGAGGCUCAACCUCGAGACGUCGAUGGAAACCGUCUGGCUAGAGUCCGGAAGAGGAGAGUGGAAUUCCUGGUGUAGCGGUGAAAUGCGUAGAUAUCAGGAAGAACACCUAUGGCGAAGGCAGCUCUCUGGGACGGUACUGACGCUGAGACGCGAAAGCGUGGGGAGCGAACAGGAUUAGAUACCCUGGUAGUCCACGCCGUAAACGAUGGGCGCUAGGUGUGGGGGGUGUCGACUCCCUCCGUGCCGAAGCUAACGCAUUAAGCGCCCCGCCUGGGGAGUACGGCCGCAAGGCUA